CGGGUGAGUAACGCGUGGAAAACCUGCCGUAUGCUGGGGGAUAACACUUAGAAAUAGGUGCUAAUACCGCAUAAGCGCACAGCUUCGCAUGAAGCGGUGUGAAAAACUCUGGUGGUAUACGAUGGUUCCGCGUCUGAUUAGCUAGUUGGUGGGGUAAUGGCCUACCAAGGCAACGAUCAGUAGCCGGCCUGAGAGGGUGAGCGGCCACAUUGGGACUGAGACACGGCCCAAACUCCUACGGGAGGCAGCAG
rnacentral:rRNA from 1 species